rnacentral:rRNA from 1 species
UACGGUGAGGGCAAGCGUUAUCCGGAUUCACUGGGUUUAAAGGGUGCGUAGGUGGGCAGGUAAGUCAGUGGUGAAAUCUCCGGGCUUAACCCGGAAACUGCCAUUGAUACUAUCUGUCUUGAAUACCGUGGAGGUGAGCGGAAUAUGUCAUGUAGCGGUGAAAUGCUUAGAUAUGACAUAGAACACCAAUUGCGAAGGCAGCUCACUACACGAAUAUUGACACUGAGGCACGAAAGCGUGGGGAUCAAACAGG